rnacentral:lncRNA from 9 species
AAUAUUCUAGCUUAUUCAUUUGUUCUUCUGGUAUAUUCAUUCUGUUAUGCCCAUUUGCUGAAUAUUUUUAUAUCCAUUAUCUUUAGUUUUUAACCUGCUUCUUCCAGAUUUAAGAUAUUUGAGAUGAAAUAUGAGAAUAUUUGUCAUGCUCAUUUAAAAUCCCUGUUCAAAAGUUCCCAUUGUGGUGCAGCAGAAAUGAAUCCAACUAGGAACCAUGAGGUGGCAGGUUCUAUCCCUGGCCUUACUCAGUGGGUUAAGGAUCUGGCAUUGCCAUGAGCUGUGGUGUAGGUCCACCAGCGGCUACAGCUCCAAUUAGACCCUAGCCUGGGAACCUCCAUAUGCCUCAAGUGCGGCCCUAAAAUAGCAAAAAAAAAAAAAAAAAAUCUUCCAAAGGGGACAAUCACCUGGGUUACAUGUAUUCUUCCUUUGUGAAGCCUCAAAAUCAUUGUAAUAGAAAUCACCACAGCUCAGAAAAGCCAAAUAGGGAAUUCAUUGUUUAUUGGGAGCUUAAGGAAAUAUGGAGGUUGCAUAGAGAUCUUCAGUAAUUUCUAAGAAAAUGUCAUGGGGCAAUACAAAUAUUGUUAUAACUUUUAUAACGCUAUCCCCUCAGUUACCAGCUAACUCAGCUAAGAAGAGGAUGGAAGAGCCAGAUCCAGGCCCUUACGGGUUGGGAACAGGACCUAUGGGGAUGCAACCAUGCAGACUAAACACUUGAGGUGGGAUUUUUUUUUUUUUUAAUAUGUCAAAGAAAUUUCUGUAGAACAUAAGAGUCUUUAGCUUUGCAAAAUAGUUUGAAAAACACUCUUCUAAGUCUCAAUAUGAGCAGUUUCUGUCUUAUCCCAGCCCUUAAACUAAGAUUCUCUAUGUCCUUUAGAAUUACUCGGGAGCUUGUGAAGAAUACACAUUCUUCACAAUGUGUAGGUGGGUGUGGGGCUGCGCUCAGGGACUGCAUGUCUACCAGCAGGUUAUGAAAUUCUUAUGAACAAUAAACUAUGCUUGUAGCGAAAUGCUGUUUUAAGAUAGAAGUGGGCAACUGAUUUCAGCUCCACUUUUCCUAUUUUUCCUUCUCCAAUUCUAAUUAGACAGGGCCUCAAAUUGCCUUCCCAGAUAUUUUCCAUCUGCUUUUCAUCAGGAUCAGCCUACCAGGGAAGCUCCAUGUAAUCCCCAACUUCCAUCCCAUGGCCUUUCCCCUCAGUCCCACCUUGUACUUCUUUUUUGACGAUGGUCUCAGAAUGGUUUUCUAUCCCACUUCCUUUGUGUCCACCAAUUCACCAUUAAUAUUUAUCCAGGCAUUUUGUCCAGGAUCUCUAUGAACCACAGUGACUGCCUAAGACUGAAUCAAGAGUGAGGUAACCAUGGAAACCACAUUCAGGAAGAACAAUAAUAGGAACCAGGGUGUUAAGCUUAGAGAAGACUUAGAUGUGAUUUGAUAGCUAUCAUGGAGGGAAUGGAUAGCUUACGGAAGUUAGCUUAGAUUCAUUCUGUGGAGUUCCCCAAGUCCAAAGUUGGACUACUGGGUAAAAGUAACAGAAAUGUAGAUUUUGGCAAAGGAUAAAGAAAAUCUUCCCAAUAAAGUUGUAGACUUGCCAAGUUAUAAAAAUCUAGUUGCUAGGAGUAUUCAAUUUGAUAAAGGAAAAUAUACUAUUAGUGGGAUUCAGAAUUCAUUCAUUUGUAGAUGGUGCCCCAAACAGAGGUGAUACAAAGAUAAAUAGGACAUGUUUCACGUCUUGGAGAAGCUCAAAGUCCAACAGAGAGUUGGCCAUGUGAGCAAAUACACCGAAGCAUAGUGUGUUGAGUACAACUACAGUAGAGUAGAUAGAGCAUUGCAGCCCACAACUAGCAUCAGUUACAGACAGGUGAGUGAGCAAGCUUUAGAGAUUCUAAAUCUCAGACUUUAAGCUACCCCUGCUGACACAGAGAGAAGCAGUAACAAGCUUCCCCCAACCCCAAGUUGCAGGUGUGACAUAUAUAUGUGUGUGUGUAUAUAUUUAUAUUGUUCUAAGCACUAAGUUUUAGGGUGAUUUGUUAUGAAACAGAUAACAGUUAAUCUGUAUAAAAAAGCAUAGAAAAAAUUGCCCAGCGCAUGGUGAUUACUCAAUAAAUAUUAAGAACUAUGGUGGUUAUUUUGUUAUCACUGUUUUGAAAGUGAUGUUAUUCAAAAGGCAUUAUAUAUAUAUAUCAUCAUCUAUGCCAAU